rnacentral:rRNA from 1 species
GUCAUACGAGACUGCGGUAAAAGCCGGAGGAAGGUGAGGACGAUGUCAAGUCAGCAUGACCUUUAUAUCCAGGGCUACACACACGCUACAAUGGUCUGUACAAUGGGUAGCCAAGCCGCGAGGCGGAGCCAAUCCUGAAAGCAGGCCUCAGUUCAGAUUGCAGUCUGCAACUCGACUGCAUGAAGCCGGAGUUGCUAGUAACCGCAGGUCAGCAAUACUGCGGUGAAUACGUUCCCGGGUCUU